rnacentral:rRNA from 1 species
GUGAACGCUGGCGGUAGGCCUAACCCAUGCAAGUCGCACGGCAGCACAGUAAGAGCUUGCUCUUACGGGUGGCGAGUGGCGGACGGGUGAGGAAUACAUCGGAAUCUACUUUUUCGUGGGGGAUAACGUAGGGAAACUUACGCUAAUACCGCAUACGACCUACGGGUGAAAGCAGGGGAUCUUCGGACCUUGCGCGAUUGAAUGAGCCGAUGUCGGAUUAGCUAGUUGGCGGGGUAAAGGCCCACCAAGGCGACGAUCCGUAGCUGGUCUGAGAGGAUGAUCAGCCACACUGGAACUGAGACACGGUCCAGACUCCUACGGGAGGCAGCAGUGGGGAAUAUUGGACAAUGGGCGCAAGCCUGAUCCAGCCAUACCGCGUGGGUGAAGAAGGCCUUCGGGUUGUAAAGCCCUUUUGUUGGGAAAGAAAAGCAGCAGGUUAAUACCCCGCUGUUCUGACGGUACCCAAAGAAUAAGCACCGGCUAACUUCGG